UGGUCCCUCCGCAGCGGCUGCCUUCCACGCUCCGAUUUCCCCGCUCCCGGCCAGUAACUUCCCUGGGUGAGCAGGGCGCCGUGGGCUGUCGAGCACCCUCGGGAUGAUGACCCAGGGUCCCGGUGGACACCUCAUUUAAUCUCUACACCCAACGUGGAGCUCGAACUCAUGACCCUGAGAUCAAGAAUUACAUGCUCUUCUGACUGAGCCAGCCAGGCACCCUCAAGUUCCCUCUUUAAGCGCAUAAAAUUCACGUAUCUUUGAUAAAUAACAACCCUAAUGACAUUGGAAUUGCCAUGAUUGAGACCAGGGGUUCACCAACUGUGGUUCAGGGACCCCUGGAGGCCGCCCAAGAUCUUUCUGGGGGUCAGCAAAAGUCUGGCAGUUUGGAGGGCAUGGCUGCAGGCUGUCAGCAAAGGCAGCUAUUCUCAAGAAGGCAAUCCAGAGCCCCGGGGUCUGGAAGAUUGAGUUGAAUGUCACCAGACUGGAAGGUGUACCAGUUAAGGGAAGGAGGGAGAGAGGAGUGGUCCCACUGAGUCUGGGGAGAGGGUGAAAGGCUGUGUGCCAAGAUAGAGAAGCACCAGGCCUCAGCAGUUUGGAGCUAGCAGAUGGCCGCUGGAGCUGUCCUGCAGGUCACGUAUGUACCAGCCUGCUGGUGAGAAGCAGAAACCUUUGGAGAUGAGCUUGCUGGCGGGGACGUCCAGGCCCAGGCGGCAGAAGCCCGGAGGAUGUCAGUCACUCAGCACUUUCCUGGAGCAGGCAGCCUGGGAAUGCUCACCCCUCCCUGCUUCAGCAGCCUGCUCAGAGACGGAGACUGCGCUUUAUGGGUACACGUAUCUUUCAAAACAAUUAUACGGCACUGGGGACAGCAGAGAUGCUCAGUAUUAAAGGAGUUAGUCAAUGUUGUCCCCGAAACCCAGCUUUACUUUGCAACUUUAAAAAGUAUUCAGAAAAUAAAAGGACAGAAAUGCUACCAGAAAAGAAAAAAAGAAAUGCUACAGGGCUGCUGCUGUGUUUCAGUGUUGAAUACUGUGUCCCCUUCCAGUGACCCUGUGGGUGGCACCCACACUGUCCAGCAAGGCUGGCUUCUUGGCACCUGCUAACCGCAGAGCUCCCAGGCAAAUGUUUGAGUCCCUCCCUUCUGCCUGGAGACAGGUUACGCCCAUAGUCUAUGGGCUCUGGGUCACUUUGUUUAUUCUGCUCAAGAAACUGUAACCUUGGGGCACCUGGGGGGCUUGGUUAAGCAUCCGGCUCUUGGCUUUGGCUCAGGUCAUGAUCUCAGAGGUUGUGGGUUAGAGCCCCACAUUGUGCUCUGUGCUGACAGCAUAGAGCCUGCUUGGGAUUUUCUCUCUUCCUCUCUCUCUUUGCCCCUACCCUGCUCACUCACUCUCUCUCAAAAUAGAUAAAUAAACUUAAAAAGGAUAUUUAAAAAAUAAUAAUAAUAGUAAAAAUAAUAGAGUCCCUGUCUCUGUGAAGUCGGCCCUGGCCACCCCAUCUCACACUUUGUCUCUGCAAUCACUUACAAUCUCACGGACCGUGUGCUUUGCUGACAUGGCUGACUUUUGUUUCUCACUAGAACAGAAGCUCAGUGAGGACAAACAUCUGUCCACUGCUGUGUCCCUAGCGCCUAGGUCGUGGCCACAGAAACACGCGGGAAUGAGCCAGCAGUCUCUGAGAACCGGGCGUUAGAAGGUCUCAGUGAACAAAGGCAAGGGUUUUCCUUAGCGGGAGGCACACAAGGGAGGGACGUCUGGGAACACUGGCCUGUCGCUGUGUCUCUCCCUGUUACACUGCGGCUGUCCGAGUUCAGUGUGCCUCACGGCAACUUCUAUGGAAGUAGGUCCACCGUUGAUUUGCUGCAAAGCCAUGAUGGCCAUAGACCUCUAGGAUCUAGAAAGCUGGUGAACACUCGGUGCCUUAAUGGAAGGGCACAGAGACCUAGGACCAUCCUUGUUCAGGGGAAGAGCAUGCUCUGUCCAACCCCGCGAAAAGGAGUCACCCGGCUGCCCGCUGCUGACUGUGGGUCAGGGAGCAGAGACACGGCGGACCUGGUCACUGGCUACAUCCUAGACCAGCAAGCAGAGGACCCUGUUGGCUACAGGGCACAUUCAACUGCAAGCGGUCUGGGGGACCGUGUACAAAAAGUGAAUGCCUUCUUCCUUCAAAUGCCUUCUCAUUCCCCGAAACAAGUGACCCCUGGGGCCAGGGAGAUAGCAAGCUAGUGACUGCCAGGAAUAGCUAUAAACCAGACAUCCAGACGUGGCCCCUCUCUGCUGGUAGCUGAACCCAGAUGAGACUUCUGAGCCCACACUGGGGGGUUAUGGAGGGAGGGACCCCGGGCCUCUGGCCAGUGACGACUCCCCAGUAGCUAGUGAACCUGGACAGGCAAACCCCAACUUGGACCAACAACACCCCAAAAACCCAACAUAAACUUGCAUCUAAAGAAACGGGGCGGCUCGUGAUGAGGAGAUGAGGCGGGGGGUCCCACCCGCAGUGACUGGAUCUGGGGGCGCAAACCAGGUUGCUCCACGCCUCACCUGCAGCCUUUGCUCCUUUACACGUGGG